rnacentral:rRNA from 1 species
GGGAUUGCCCCAGUAACGGCGAGUGAAGCGGCAACAGCUCAAAUUUGAAAUCUGGCCUAGGCCCGAGUUGUAAUUUGCAGAGGAUGCUUCGGGCGCGGUGCCUUCUGAGUUCCCUGGAACGGGACGCCAUAGAGGGUGAGAGCCCCGUACGGUUGGACACCUAGCCUGUGUGAAGCUCCUUCGACGAGUCGAGUAGUUUGGGAAUGCUGCUCAAAAUGGGAGGUAUAUCUCUUCUAAAGCUAAAUACCGGCCAGAGACCGAUAGCGCACAAGUAGAGUGAUCGAAAGAUGAAAAGCACCUUGAAAAGGGGGUUAAACAGCACGUGAAAUUGUUGAAAGGGAAGGGCCCAUGACCAGACUUGUGCCCGGCGGAUCACCCAGCGUUCUCGCUGGGGCACUCCGCCGGGUCCAGGCCAGCAUCGGUUCUCGCCGGGGGAUAAAGGCUCUGGGAACGUAGCUCCUCCGGGAGUGUUAUAGCCCUCUGCGUAAUACCCUGGCGGGGACCGAGGUACGCGCUCCGCAAGGAUGCUGGCGUAAUGGUCAUCAGCCACCCGUCUUGAAACACGGAUCAAGGAGUCGUCCAUUAGAGCGAGCGUUUGGGUGUCAAACCCGCACGCGUAAUGAAAGUGAACGUAGGUGAGAGCUUCGGCGCAUCAUCGACCGAUCCUGAUGUCCUCGGAUGGAUUUGAGUAUGAGUUUUACUGGACGGACCCGAAAGAUGGUGAACUAUGCCUGUAUAGGGUGAAGCCAGAGGAAACUCUGGUGGAGGCUCGCAGCGGUUCUGACGUGCAAAUCGAUCGUCAAAUAUGGGCAUGGGGGCGAAAGACUAAUCGAACCAUCUAGUAGCUGGUUACCGCAA